rnacentral:lncRNA from 1 species
GUGGGAUCUCGGCUCACUGCAACCUCCGCCUCCUGGCGGGAAUCAAGUGAUUCCCCUGCCUCAGGCUCACGGGUAGCUGGAACUACAGGCACCUGCCACCACACCCAGCUAAUUUUUGUAUUUUUAAUAGAGACAGCGUUUCUCCAUGUUGGCCAGGACGGUCUUGAACUCCUGACCUCAGGUGAUCCACCCACCUCAGCCUCCCAAAGUGCUGGGAUUACAGCCCUGAGCCACCGUGCCUGGCCUGUCUUCAUUGCCUUUGAAAAGCCCCAGAUCCAGCCUUCUAGCACAAGAAGUUGUCUAGUGGAAAACGGACACAGGUGUGCUGUUCAGGGGAGCAGGGGAGACGGGGACGUGACCUGGGCGUAGACUUUAAUGGAAGCCCUCUCGGUGGUGGAGCAUGGAGAAGCCUCGGUGUCAGAGCAUGAGGAGGAGCAAGGUGAGUAGCAUGUGUGCAGAGGGUGCACCUGCUGAAGAAACCAGGGACUGCUGUGUCCCCGACACCAAGCAAAGGAAGGUGUUAACAGAGGGGCCUGAGGUUGACGGUGGCCGUGGGGGCCUAGGGGACUAGGAUGGGGACUGUCCCCUGGAUCUGGCUCUGAUGGUCAGUGCAGGGGCAGCGUCCGCCUGGACGGGAGAAAGAGCCCAGAGGGGAGGAGGGGAGGAAGGCUCAGGCCGCAGCUGCUCAUCUCAGCAGGUCUUUCCUCCAAACUCCUCCUGGCUCACAGACUCUCAGGAAAUCACACCAGAAAGCAAAGGAGAGUGCCAUUACUCUGGAGGCCAUUUGAUUAAGCCCACUCUAAUUGUUUGUUAGUUCCCAAACAGCAAAUUUUUGUAUUUUCAUUAUUAGUAGUUAAAAAUUACUUGGAUACUCCACGGUUGGCAGAGUUAUGCAGACGGUCUCACCUGCGGGCUGCACGCAGCCGCUCCGUGGCGCACACAUGUUCUGCCGAAGUCCACGUUUCCGUGCAGCCCUCACCACCUGGACGCCAGGGCGGCGCGGGGGAGCCCUCACCUCACGCCUCACCCGGUGUGGACGUGGCACCUGCUCGCUGCCCCUCCCCUCUGAGCAGCUCCGUCUGCACACUGCGUAAGUUUGGCUGCAAGGCAACAAGGAAACUAAGCUGGAGUCCGGCGUGGCAUGUUGCCAGGGCCACCGGCAGGACAAGGAGCAAUAAAAGUUGAAUUUUAAAAAACAGAUAAAUAAUGUAUGUGUAGAAAAAGGAAGAAACCAGGUACAGAAGUGCACGUAGGUACCGUAUCCACAGAUUGAACACACAUGUGUGCAAAUACGUAUCCCCACACACGUGCACACACACAUACAUACACACACACAUACAUACACACACACACACACACACACGUAGCUGUCAUGUAGAAGCCACUGUUUUUUCAGCUCCAUUUGUGACUUUUAUCAUAACACACUGCCCUCCAGCGCAGCAAUGCCAGGUCUCUUAUAAAUAUUUAUGGCAACCUUUAGCUCUUCGGAAAGCAGCUCCUUCUGCCAUGUGAGGCGCUGCUCUGAGAGGUGACAGGGGUCCCAGGCUUCUCCGCUCUGCCGUGGCUCACAGGCUGUGGCACCUCUCCAUGGACCAGCUCCGGUGGGACGGGUCCUCUAGUUCACUGCCAGCAGGGUGACGGCGGAAACCCUGAAUGCAGCGAUUUUGAGAAGCAAAAUCGGCUGUCGUGUGUUUCUUUUAGGAACUGCAUCGGUGCGGUUGUGAUGAAACCAUUUCGCAUUUACUGAGUGUGCACGCACUCAAUUACAACACGAACAUGUGAAACCAGAACAACGCACAGGAGGAAGAUACGGUGUUUCGUCCUGUUGCCCAGGCUGGUCUUCUAGGCUCAGCCAUCUGCCCAGCUCAGCCUCCCCAAGUGCUGGGAUUAUGGGAGUGAGCCACCUCGCCCAGCCUAAAAUCCAUUUUAAAAAAACAUGAGAAAUGAUUUGCAUUUGGGACUGAAGAAGAAUGAAAGGCACCUGUAGUUUUGACGCCAAGAAAGCCUAGUUAUACCUUUAUUUUAUUAACCUACUAUUCACCAGGUUUCUGAGUGUGGUUUCUCAGUGUGACCCUAACCCGUCUUAGGAGAGGCGGUGCUAGGAACUGCUAUAGGGGGGCACAGCAGGUGGUCCCUAAAGUUGUGAUGCUCAAGAGAUUCACAGAAUAUCUGAAGAAAAAAGACACGUUUGUUUUUGCAUUUUCUGUGGUUUUGCUGUUGUUGUUCAUCACAAAGUUUGCAGGUUUGCUACAAUUGUGAACAUUCAGAACAAAACACAGAAUAAGAUAAAAAUCAUCAGCUAUGCAAUUGUUUGUUUUUUAAAUACACAUUCUCAAGAUUUUGGUGUUGCUUUUUCUCAGGAUUUUUCUCUGGGAACAUGUUUAUCUUUUCCUGUAGCUGGAAUGACACUCAAUUUUUAGUUUGGGUUUCUUCUUUUAUUCAUCAUUAUCCUGUGGCAAGUGUUUCCCCAGGGUAUGAAAUAUUAUUAAAAGUACAGACUUUAAGGGCUGUUUUGCUGUUUAUCACGUGUAUCAUAAUGUAUUUAAUGCUCCCCAUCUUUUUUUGAAUAUUUAAGUAGCUUUCUGGGUUGAAAUCUUGUAAAUUACACUGCAAUAAAUGUGUUUAUCAUUGGUGCACAU